GGCUACCCCAACUUUGUGGCAACCUAUGGCAGAGGCUAUCCUGGAUUUGCUCCUAGCUAUGGCUACCAGUUCCCAGGCUUCCCAGCAGCGGCUUAUGGACCAGUGGCGGCGGCAGCUGUGGCAGCGGCUCGAGGAUCAGUCCUGAAUAGCUACAGUGCUCAACCGAAUUUUGGCGCGCCCACUUCCCCGGCAGGCUCCAACCCGGCGCGGCCCGGAGGCUUCCCGGGGGCCAACAGCCCAGGACCUGUCGCCGAUCUCUACGGCCCUGCCAGCCAGGACUCCGGAGUGGGGAAUUACAUAAGUGCAGCCAGCCCACAGCCGGGCUCAGGCUUCGGCCACGGCAUAGCUGGACCUUUGAUUGCAACGGCCUUUACAAAUGGAUACCACUGAGCAGGUGCUUCUAUUACCAUCUCACUAUGAGAGCAUACCUGGAUGUCCAGGCAAGACUGGGCGAAGUUUCUGAGUGGCCCUUUGUUUAGGUGACGUCCUCAGACCUGGAUCCCCCACCAGCCUCACUCCUCAUCCCAACCAGAGGUGGCACACUUGGAUUAAGGGUUGACACAUCUCAUCUCACCCAUCUACUAUCUGCUGUAAUAUAAGACAACAGCUUUUAAACGUGUAUAUAACCCAUGAUUUUGGUUUGGUUCUGUUUGUUUUCCUUGGUGGUUCCCCUCCCCCUCUCCCUUCUCCUUUUAAAUCUCCCUCGAUCACAUUUGGUAGUGAUUUUUGACUUAGUCUGGUAGUCACCUAGCUUAAUAUCUAGUUAAAAGCUAACCAUAGUAUACUUGUUAUAUAUUAAGGAGUUUUUUCUUUCUUUUUUUUUUCUUUUUUCCUUUAAGAGAAUUUUUGUUUUGUUUUUGAUUCUGUUCUCACUUUUAAAGGAUGCUGAGAUGGUGAUGUUACUCUCCAUUUUUGGUACCGAUUUUGAGACUGUAAGACUUUUCACCCGGGACUUUAGCACUGAAUCGAAAUUGUGAUACGCGGAGCGGGGGGUGGGCAUAGACUCUAUUUUGUGUUGUAGAAGUGACAUACAGUUGGCUGCUCAACAGACUCUCUAGCAGUUCAUUUUGUGACGUCUCUUUGUUAACCUAAGUAUAUCUAUUUUCGGCAAUAAGGUAAGGACGGCCAUGUUUUGAGGGUCCUCCUUUUCUAUGAGUGCUUUCUCUUUUUUUCUGUUCAAAGAGGUCAUAUUAUAAGGUUUUUUGAAAUUGUGAAUUCUAAAAAACAAAAAACAAACAAAAAAAUGUUGUAAAUAUGAUUCCAUUAACUACAUAGAAACUAUUAAGGAAGAGAGAAUCAAAAAUAUUUUUGUGAGGGAGUUGCUCCCAGGCAGUUAGGUACCCUGGAAGGAGGGGAGGGAACCUUGAUGAAGCCGGUACCACAACACAAGAGGACCCAGCUGCCAGGGCAGCCCGGAACCCCACUCUCCGCUGUUGGUGUGGUAGACCUAAGAGCUGUGUUAGCACCCCGCCAGCCUACCAGCCUCUCUGUGCCCAGCUUCAAAUGGUAUGGUCUAGCUAGAUUUUUAUUUAAAAUAUGAAAAACUGCUUUUCCCAAGAUGUUUUUUAAAAGGAAAACAAAAGCUACAAUUUUAAUAUUUGACAUAUUUCGAGUUUCAAAGCACACCUGUUUUGGCUUAGGGGAGGGGCAGGGUGGGGACAUUCUUUUUCAGUCUUAAUUUUUAAAUAUCUGAUCAUUUUAUAUUGUCCGAUCAUUUCAGCACCUCCAAAGGGUCCUAGGAUAACCCUGCCUCUCCCUUCACCCUGCUCCCCAUCUUCCCCCCAGAGAGGGGGCCUGUGGGCCAGGUGUGGACAAGCCUGCAUGAAUACACCCUUUCUCCAUUCAUUUUCUAUUUACAAAUUAGGAAAGCAACCUUUCAGUUUAUAUAUAUUUUUUUUUCCUUUUUGAUACCUCAGUGCUGCAAGUAUCAUCAGAGAGGCUAUGGAAGAGUUUUGUGUUUUUUUUUAAUUUAUUGUAGAUGUAAACAGAAUUUUAAAAAAAUAAAAUAUAAGCAUCUCUGCACUGUGACUGGUGGGAAAAACUGACAGCUUCCUGUUUGCACAAGUUUGACAUUUGGCUGUUAUAAUAUAUGGUCCUCAGUUGGGGAAAGACACUUAGGAUGAAGGAUGUUUUUUAAUUUAACUUUUUUUUUUUAAAGAAAAAAUAUCAGUAAUAAGUUGGCAACAGCAACCGUAGGAAGGUAGCAUUAAAGCAUACUGUAGUGUGGAUAUAUAUUUUUUCUUUUUUAAAAUGUGAUAUUGACAUUUUAUUAAUAUUUUUUAAAUUGUUACGUUUAUAAAUUUGGUACUUAAGGCACAGCCAGUAUGAGACACUGAAUGCGACAUUUAUUACAAUGAGCUGCUGCACUCCUAUUUUUAUAAACUUUACUGACAAGUAGACUAAUGUAGACAUUCACAGACACGAUAGCACAGAAGCAUCUUCAAACGAAAAGUCUUCGGAAAGCUGAUUCAGAAAGGACGGGAAGAAGCCUGCUCCCGUUCUGGUUAAAUGCAACUUUAUUUCAUUUAAUUAUUUUAUUUUUUAAGAAACAAAAUCAUGUUCUUUUUUUUUUUUUUUCUAAAUAAAAUUGCUGGGUUGUUUGGUAAGGUUUUGGGUGGUUUUUGUUUUGUUUUGUUUUAAGUUUCCAAACAACCAAACUAAGAAAAAUGCUGGAUGCUUUUAAAAUACAAUACUUACUCAAGUCAUAAAAUAACAACAUAGAACUUUUAUUUUUAAGAAACAACAACAAAGAGAAAGAGAGACUAGAUUCCCAGCAAUUCAGUGUCGAACAAGGGGAUUAAUUAAUUACUCUUUUGUCCAUGUUGAUGAUGUCCUGUCCCCAGCCCCCGCCCAUCUUCCCACAGCCCCAUUCACCUCAUAGAGUGCUCUUUGUUGACCAUUGUCUGUUAAUAAUGUAUAAAAUGGCUAUCUUGUAAGUGUGCUGUCUUGGUACUAGCGUAGUGACUUUUUUUCUCUUCUUCUAGUACAUAUUGAUAGGUAUAACGUAAUUAAGGUUUUUAAAAAAAAAUAGACAUAGUUAUUCAGAUUUAGGACCAGUAAGGAUAGAACUUUCUCUUAUUUAUGAAAAGAAAAAAAAUGCUAAUAAUUUGGGGGCAGUUUUUUCCUUUAUUUUUUUUUCCAAGUUCAAAUUUACUUUUAUUUUUGCUGAUUUGAUGUGGUUUCAACUAACCCAAGGUCUCACAAUGUUCAAAUGCCGGCUGACUCUACGGCAUUUUGUAGGUCCCUGCCCCCCGUCCGUGAAGGGGUGUGCCAUACUACC
rnacentral:lncRNA from 1 species